rnacentral:rRNA from 1 species
UACGUAGGGUGCAAGCGUUGUCCGGAAUUAUUGGGCGUAAAGAGCUCGUAGGCGGUCUGUCGCGUCGGCUGUGAAAACCCGGGGCUCAACCCCGGGCCUGCAGUCGAUACGGGCAGACUAGAGUGCGGUAGGGGAGACUGGAAUUCCUGGUGUAGCGGUGAAAUGCGCAGAUAUCAGGAGGAACACCGGUGGCGAAGGCGGGUCUCUGGGCCGUAACUGGCGCUGAGGAGCGAAAGCGUGGGGAGCGAACAGG